GCGCCAGUAGCUCAGCUGGUUAGAGCACCAUUCUUAUAAAGUGGGGGUCCUCGGUUCGAAUCCAAGCUGGCGCA
rnacentral:tRNA from 1 species